rnacentral:rRNA from 1 species
GACGAACGCUGGCGGCGCGCCUAACACAUGCAAGUCGAACGGAGUUGUGUUGAAAGCUUGCUGGAUAUACAACUUAGUGGCGGACGGGUGAGUAACACGUGAGUAACCUGCCUCUCAGAGGGGAAUAACAGUGAGAAAUCAUUGCUAAUACCGCAUAUGCUCACAGUAUCACAUGAUACAGUGAGGAAAGGAGUAAUCCACUGAUAGAUGGGCUUGCGUCUGAUUAGCUAGUUGGUGGGGCAACGGCCUACCAAGGCGACGAUCAGUAGCCGGACUGAGAGGUUGAACGGCCACAUUGGGACUGAGAUACGGCCCAG